UAAGGAACACAAAUCUCUGUUCAAUCCUCACCCAAAGGCGAAAAUGUUGCAGGCUAUGGGACUGUCCUCUUUCAGCACCGUUUGUUCAGUGUCACGCGGAUCAAAGCUGAGAGCAAAGAAGAAACCUGAGUCAAAGCGAAGCCCGAGCAGUGUCGGCUUCAGCAGCAGGAGGAAAGAGCUGUUGUGGCGGUGCGUUGAGGGCUGUGGGGCCUGCUGCAAGUUAAAAAAGGGUUCCUCCUUUGUCACCCCUGAAGAAAUCUUCAGCGACCCGGUCGACAUUGAGCUCUACAAAAGCUUAACAGGUCCAGAUGGAUGGUGUAUACACUUUGACAAAGGCACACGAACAUGCUCCGUUUACAACGGUGAAGAUCUAGGUGGUCAAAACCUUCAUCAGUAUCUAUCUUUGAACACUUCUGAACCUUUGUUCGUUAUUUUUUCUUUGGCAGAUCGUCCUUACUUUUGUCGUGUAGAGCCAGAUGUAUUUGAAUCAUUAUAUGGUGUUAGCAAGAAGAAUUUUAACAAAGAUGCCUGCAGUUUUUGUAGGGACACCAUCAAGGAAAUUUAUGGUUCCAAUUCGAAGGAGUUUGAUAACUUUAAUUGUUCAAUAAGGAGCUCGGGUUUUAGUUAGAUCGCACUUCCUGCUCAAAAUGCUAAAGGUGGAUCCUUUCCAAAAUUCAAUGAGAAGGGGGUGGCGGGGGUUACUUAUCAUGUGUACAUUGUGUUAUGGAAGUUGCCUGCUGCACAAUUUGAUACGAACAUUGGUUCUGAGAUCAAUGAACUUUUUGGAUUCUCCAUUAGUUGAAGUGUCCAAGGUAGAGGAUCUGAUGAUGGUGAUAGUGGUAUGCAUGGUUUAUACUCCAAUCAGUGGAGGGAUGGUUAAUUUACUGCAGUUGUCAUUACUGGUGAGUCUCUUUUGAUUAUGAGUUGUGUAAGGUUUCAUGUGGUUUCUUCUUCAAUGGCUAUCUUUGCUGUUGUUGCCUCACCGAAGUUUGGGCUUAAGCUGAGUGACAAAGGUCUCCAUGUCAUCUCUGGAAAUUGGCUACAAAGGUGUGUAGAGACGAGGGGUUAGCAUUUGUGUACCACUUUUUGUUUUGUCUGUGUGUACCACCUGAUUUCUUAAGAACCAUAUACACUCUUUAGCUAAGAUGGCAAAAAUUCUGAAAGUGAUGACAGUCAUCUUUUCCGCUGUUAAUAUAGAAGCAAAAGUUCCAAGAU